rnacentral:rRNA from 1 species
CGGAUCUCUUAAAGCCGUUCUCAGUUCGGACUGUAGGCUGCAACUCGCCUACACGAAGCUGGAAUCGCUAGUAAUCGCGGAUCAGCACGCCGCGGUGAAUACGUUCCCGGGCCUUGUACACACCGCCCGUCACACCAUGAGAGUCUGUAACACCCAAAGCCGGUGGGAUAACCUUUAUAGGAGUCAGCCGUCUAAGGUAGGACAGAUGAUUAGGGUGAAGUCGUAACAAGGUAUC